UACGUAGGGUGCAAGCGUUAAUCGGAAUUACUGGGCGUAAAGCGUGCGCAGGCGGUUUUGUAAGCCAGAUGUGAAAUCCCCGGGCUCAACCUGGGAAUGGCAUUUGGGACUGCAAGGCUUGAGUGCGGCAGAGGAGACUGGAAUUCCUGGUGUAGCAGUGAAAUGCGUAGAUAUUGGGAAGAACACCGGUGGCGAAGGCGGCGCUCUGGACCGAGACUGACGCUGAGGCGCGAAAGCGUGGGGAGCAAACAGG
rnacentral:rRNA from 1 species